rnacentral:rRNA from 1 species
UUCCUACGGGAGGCAGCAGUAGGGAAUCUUGCGCAAUGGGCGAAAGCCUGACGCAGCGACGCCGCGUGAGGGAUGAAUGCCUUCGGGUUGUAAACCUCUUUCAGCAGGGACGAAGCUUCGGUGACGGUACCCGCAGAAGAAGCCCCGGCUAACUACGUGCCAGCAGCCGCGGUAAUACGUAGGGGGCUAGCGUUAUCCGGAUUUAUUGGGCGUAAAGAGCUCGUAGGCGGCCGAUCACGUCGGAUGUGAAAGCUCAGGGCUCAACCCUGAGAGGCCAUUCGAUACGGAUCGGCUAGAGGUAGGUAGGGGAAAGUGGAAUUCCUGGUGUAGCGGUGAAAUGCGCAGAUAUCAGGAGGAACACCGGUGGCGAAGGCGGCUUUCUGGGCCUUACCUGACGCUGAGGAGCGAAAGCUGGGGGAGCGAACAGGAUUAGAUACCCUGGUAGUCCCAGCCGUAAACGUUGAGUGCUAGGUGUGGGGCGGUCUUCAACCCGCUCUGUGCCGCAGCUAACGCAUUAAGCACUCCGCCUGGGGAGUACGGUCGCAAGACUAAAACUCAAAUGAAUUGAC